GACGAACGCUGGCGGCGUGCCUAACACAUGCAAGUCGAACGGAGAAUUUCAAGAAGUUUACUUAGAGAAAUUUUUAGUGGCGGACGGGUGAGUAACGCGUGGGUAACCUACCCAUAAACCCGGGACAACCCUUGGAAACGAGGGCUAAUACCGGAUAAUCUUAAGAAGUGGCAUCACUUUUUAAGAAAAGGUGGCCUCUGAAGAUGCUACCGAUUAUGGAUGGACCCGCGUCUGAUUAGCUAGUUGGUGGGGUAAAGGCCUACCAAGGCGACGAUCAGUAGCCGGCCUGAGAGGGUGAACGGCCACACUGGGACUGAGACACGGCCCAGACUCCUACGGGAGGCAGCAGUGGGGAAUCUUCCGCAAUGGACGAAAGUCUGACGGAGCAACGCCGCGUGUAUGAUGAAGGUCUUCGGAUUGUAAAGUACUGUCUUUGGGGAAGAAUGACUGAUUUGAAAAUAUUGAGUCAGUAUGACGGUACCCAAGGAGGAAGCCCCGGCUAACUACGUGCCAGCCGCCGCCGUAAAAC
rnacentral:rRNA from 1 species